CCGACGAGCUGCGGGCAGAUGAAGUGAAUGUGCGUGUCGAGCCCGCCGGCCGUGACGAUCUUCCCCUCGCCGGCGAUCACCUCGGUGGAGGCGCCGACGACCAUCCCCUCCGUCACACCCGCCAUCAGAUCCGGAUUGCCGGCCUUGCCCACGCCCACGAUCCGCCCGUCACGGAUCCCGAUGUCGGCCUUCACGAUGCCCCAGUGAUCGACGAUGACGGCGUUGGUGACGACGACGUCGAGCGCGCCGGCGGCGCGCGUGGCGCGGACGGACUGGCCCAUGCCGUCGCGG
rnacentral:sRNA from 1 species